rnacentral:lncRNA from 1 species
AGGUGGUAAAUCCUGGCCAAGGCUCCUCGAGCCAGGCCGGCUGGCAGUGCUGCAUCGUGCUGAAGGCGCUGAGGUUGCAGCGGAUGCAUUCCGGGCCAGUGAUAUGAUGUGGACAGGAAAAGUCUUUUGUUCUGGGAAAAUGGAGGACUGAAACCUCUUCAUGUCUUUUUCCCAGGCCCUGAUUUAGGAAGACCAAAACAGGGACUUCUACAGUAGCAGCUUAAUCAGCAGAUGCUGGGUGGUCGCCUCUGCACAUGGCCUGGGGGGCGGGGCGCCUUACCGCGUCACACUGGGUGGAUGGGCCUGUGUGUGGCCUCUCUCCAGCUGUGGCUGACAGUACUCACUCAGCCCAGGCUUCCAGGCCCUCCUGGGCCCUCCUAUCCACUGAAGGAAAUGGGAGAUGAGUGGGUAAUGGAAAAGCCUUUGGAGUCAGAUGUAAAUCCAUGACUUGACCACUUAUUGCUGUGAGACCCUGGACAGCUGGAUAUAGAGUUCUUGUUCUAGCAUCCGCCCUGGGAAUCCCCGGAACUGGGCCUCUUACCGACACCAUUGCCUGUAAUCCACAAACCUAGGAGGAGGUUACUUUCCAUCUAAAAAGUAAUAAUGUAAAAACCACAUGGGGGUGAAUGGUAUAGAGCCGAGAAGUGCCUGCUCCGGAGGCUGCAAGCUCGGGCUCCCGCAGCACAGCUGCUGCCCACUCUGCUGGAGGCCUCUUCUGGGUGCAUCUUCAUGAGUUACAAGAAGCACAUUACUUUGACCCCAAAGGGAACGCUACACUUCCUUAGAAAUUAAGAGUGUGUGCUACACUGCUUUACCAGAGCAAGGCCAAAAGCAGCUUCAAUUAUGGUACAACUGUGUGAAGACACAAUGCAAAACCACUCAAGAAUGCUCACUCAAAUGGAUUUUUACCAUGCGUCUACAAUGUGGAAGCAAGUCCUGAGUGAAUAUGCAACCCUGCUCCACCUAUGGGGAAGUGGGACCAGAACCAGAAACAUCAGCACACAGGGACACAGCCCUGGAAACACAACCUCUGCUUUCAAAGCAGAUUGGCCACUAAGAGUUUUUAUUACCUAUUUUCUUUGCCAUAUUGUAGUUCCCAAUUCUCAAAAAUAAAAAUGUUAAGAGAAAUAUGAAAGACGGCUAAAAAGAGAGAAGAAACAAUGAAAAAGGAGAUGGCUCAUGCCUGUAAUCCCUUUGGGAGGCCGAGGCGGGUGGAUCACGAGGUCAGGAGAUCAAGACCAUCAUGGCUAACAGGAUGAAACCCCGUCUCUACUAAAAAUACAAAAAAUUAGCCGAGCAUGGUGGCAGGAGCCUGUAGUCCCAGCUAACUGGGAGGCUGAGGCAGGAGAAUGGUGUGAACCCAGGAGGCGGAACUUGCAGUGAGUGGAGAUCGCACCACUGCACUCCAACCUGGGCGACAGAGCAAGACUCCGUCUCAAAAAGAAAAAGAAAAAGAAAAAGAAAAAGGACAGAAGGGCAAAAAAGAAACAGGUACAGGGGACAUGGAGAGGUGGUCAGGGACACGGAUAUGGGCACAAGAAAGAGGAGGGAGAGAGAGAGGAGGAAGUUCUUGGCACAGAACUAGUCCUUCUCUACCCUCGAUUUAUUCUCAAGAAAUAAGAAAGUACGUUUUGUUUUGAUAGUCACUUAAUAGCAACAUGAACUGGCAGGUAGGAGAGUGGAGUCAGUGGAAACAGCUGCCAAAGCAGGGGUCAUGGAGAAGAACCAUAGGCAGGCAACACACACACACUGUGUGUGCUCCGCAACAAAGGUGCCAUUAGUCUCAAAGCAUAGUGGAUCAGUGAGUUGGGCUUAUGAAUGUUCCCAAGUCUUUUCCACUUCUGACCACAUUUUGAGUAUGUGUUAAUCAAAUUCAUCUCCUAAAUAUUUAGUAUAAGGCUUUAUGUAAUGAGUUCUCAAAUGCAUGUUGCUGAGCCACUGACAGCAGGAAACAAGCUACCUCCCACCAGGAAACCACUAACUAGUUUAUAUGCCUGUAACACAUAUCACUGUAAUUCUGGGUCCUAACAAAAACCUUUUUCAUAAAAACGGGUACCAGUCAGGAAGACCCAAAUGCAUAUUAGGGAAGUAAUUAUCUAUUACUCUCUAGGAUACUGAUAAAGGAAGGGACUUCCAUGUCAAUUUCUAAAUAUUCAAGAGGCCUUGAAUAUCCCAAGGUGCCUGUUAGGGUCAUUAUUUUGAAACUAAAAGCAGACCUGGCCUCUUCUGAUUAAGAAAGCACACACACACACACUUUUCACUCUGACUGUUGACAAUUCAAGCCCAUGCACAGUACAUGCUUCCUUGGGAAUACCUCUCGUGUAUAUACUCUGGUAGGGCCAGGCCUAUAGGGGCAUCCUGUUGCCUUCAAUGCUGAACUUGACAGCACGAUGCACUUUGCUGAGUCGUUUCUGUUCUGCAAAUCGCCUCUUAUGCUUUUCCAAUCGGCUUAGGCCCUUUUUAAGAAUACCAGGCUAGAAGUAGUAGUUUGAUUGGAGAAUAAAAA